rnacentral:rRNA from 1 species
AUUGAACGCUGGCGGCAUGCCUUACACAUGCAAGUCGAACGGCAGCACGGGGCAACCUGGUGGCGAGUGGCGAACGGGUGAGUAAUGCAUCGGAACGUACCUUUCAGGGGGGGAUAACGUAGCGAAAGUUACGCUAAUACCGCAUAUUCUGUGAGCAGGAAAGCAGGGGAUCGCAAGACCUUGCGCUGAUUGAGCGGCCGAUGUCAGAUUAGCUAGUUGGUGAGGUAAGGGCUCACCAAGGCGACGAUCUGUAGCGGGUCUGAGAGGAUGAUCCGCCACACUGGAACUGAGACACGGUCCAGACUCCUACGGGAGGCAGCAGUGGGGAAUUUUGGACAAUGGGGGCAACCCUGAUCCAGCCAUGCCGCGUGAGUGAAGAAGGCCUUCGGGUUGUAAAGCUCUUUCGGCCGGGAAGAAAUCGCACGGGCUAAUACCCUGUGUGGAUGACGGUACCGGAAUAAGAAGCACCGGCUAACUACGUGCCAGCAGCCGCGGUAAAAC